CAGCCGCCGCGGUAAUACGGAGGGGGCUAGCGUUGUUCGGAAUUACUGGGCGUAAAGCGCACGUAGGCGGCUUGGUAAGUUAGAGGUGAAAGCCCGGAGCUCAACACCAGAACUGCCUUUAAGACUGCAUCGCUUGAACGUCGGAGAGGUGAGUGGAAUUCCGAGUGUAGAGGUGAAAUUCGUAGAUAUUCGGAAGAACACCAGUGGCGAAGGCGGCUCACCGGACGACUGUUGACGCUGAGGUACGAAAGCGUGGGGAGCAAACAGGAUUAGAUACCCGGGUAGUCCCUGUCUCUUAUAC
rnacentral:rRNA from 1 species